rnacentral:rRNA from 1 species
AGCAACAUUGGAUACAGGUGGUGCAUGGUCGUCGUCAGCUCGUGUCGUGAGAUGUUGGGUUAAGUCCCGCAACGAGCGCAACCCUUGUUAUUAGUUGCCAGCAUUUAGUUGGGCACUCUAAUGAGACUGCCGGUGAUAAACCGGAGGAAGGUGGGGACGACGUCAGAUCAUCAUGCCCCCUUAUGACC